UACCUGCAGCUCGAGUGGUAACCGCUAUUAUUGGGCCUAAAGCGUCCGUAGCCGGUUUGGUAAAUAUCUGAGUAAAUCGUGAGGCUUAACUUCACGAAUUUCGGAUAGACUGCCAGACUUGGGAUCGGGGGAGGUCAGAGGUACUCCAGGGGUAGCGGUGAAAUGUUGUAAUCCUUGGAGGACCACCGGUAGCGAAGGCGUCUGACUAGAACGAGUCCGACGGUGAGGGACGAAGCCCUGGGGCGCAAACCGGAUUAGAUACCCGGGUAGUCCAGGGUGUAAACGAUGUGGGCUUUGUAUUGGAGGUCCCACGUGGGCGUCCAGUGCAGAAGAGAAGUUGUUAAGCCCACCGCCUGGGAAGUACGGUCGCAAGGCUGAAACUUAAAGGAAUUGGCGGGGAGCACAGCAACGGGAGAGCGUGCGGUUU
rnacentral:rRNA from 1 species